AAGGAACCUCUGGAGAUCAUCAUCCAGUCCAACUGCUCUGCUAAAGGAGGGUCAUCCACAGCAGCUUGCCUGGGAUCGCAAUGUCUGGGCUUUGAUGAAGUCUCCAAUGCACUUACCUCAAACCAAAGAGAUACCGGCUGUGGGAAGAGAAAUAUCAAACAAUUUGACAACACUUGUUUCUUACCUGGAUGUUGCUUGCCAGUUCUGCUAAACCACUAAAAGGUGAUUUCAAAUCCCAGCCAUUCAUCUGUCCAGAGAUACAGCAUGAAGGGUAUUGGGAAAUUUCAGCAUUUAGAAGACAAGAAGAUGGGGACAGAUGACACGGUGGGGAUGCA